rnacentral:misc_RNA from 1 species
AAGUCGUAACAAGGUUUCCGUAGGUGAACCUGCGGAAGGAUCAUUAGUGAAUUCAAAUUUCUGGAAGGGUGUAAAAGCCUGACUAGUGCGCUGGGCGUCCCUCGUGAUGCCCAGUGUGGAACCACUUUCCUUAACACCUGUGAACUGUCUGUCAGGCCCAUCGCUCUUCGGGGCGUGGACUUGCACAUUACAAACUUACUCUGUAAAAAAUGUCGAAGUACAAAAACAAAAUAAAA